AGAUUGUGAAAUAGGCACACAUGGGCAGUUAAGCAACAAGCUCUCAAGGGUUCACCCUGCAAUUACAUCCCUGAAAUGAAGAGGCAAAAGGCGAGGAAGCAACAAUGGGACACUCGCCAUUGGAAUGGAAUCAGGAUUUGAUGUGAUGCAACGUGACUUGCUCAUGGCACAGACAGAAUAUCAAAUGAUCCAUGUGAAAUUCAACCCUUGGUAUAACCUUUCUAUUAUCUCUAUUAUUCUUCCAUCUGACUGAGGCCUUACAGAAUAUUUCUCACGUCUUGUAGUCUUUUGAAGAAUGCUGAAAGUAAGCAUAUUCCCUGGAACUCUUGUGGAAGUACGUGAUAAUAAAUCAGAAAAUGAUGGCAUUUGGAGUCAGAAGACCUGGUCUGAAGUUUUGAGGCUUUUAAUUGGGAGUGAAGCCAGCUAUGCAGAUGUCUAACUACAAAAUAACAGAUGAGAGCUGUACACGAGAGACUCACAAUGAAUUGAGCAAAGAAAUUGGGACUCUGGAAUUUAAUUAUCUGUGAGCAUGUCAUCACAAUCAACUUUAAGAGAGAAAUCACAGCUAUUUGUACAAUAUUAUAAGUAUUAAUUAUGCCUUGCUCACAACCAAAUGUUACAUGUUAAUGUGGAAGUUUGUCUUUCAGAGAAUUUCAGAGAAUGUCUACAGCUUGUCAAGAGCAUCCUGAUGUAUUCAUAUCACAACAGUGAAAAAAUGUCUUAAACCCAAGGAUCUUGAUAAUUCUCCAGAAGUUGGUGUACACAAUGCCUUGUCUCAAGAUGCAAACUUAUCCUGACUACUUGGAGCCAGAGUAUAAAGGGAGUCCUACCAUCUCCAUAUAUCUAGUUACCAAAAAGGUGUAUCGUAUACUAGUCAAUGUGACCAGCAUACCUUGGUUAUGAUGAAAUAUGUGUAUAAUUAUGUUUCUAUCUGACUUAAAAUUGACAAACAAUUAAGUACAACUAAAUUUAAUUAUUGCUCAUCUACA